CGACCUGGAAGGGCCCCUUCACAAGGACGAGGAACUUUGCGUGUAGUCUCCGAUGACCAGCGCGUCGUAUUUGGGGGACGCGGGGAGGCAGAGGGCCGACUCUGACACUGGGAAAAGAAGUCACAGGUACAACCUGGUGAUGGGGGAUUUGGCAAGUAGAGAUCCACCAGGUUUCAGAUGCUACCAUGAUGCCAACCUGACUUUCCUGGGCAGACAACUCCACUAAUGUGUCUGGGAGCCCCACUUCCCCAGAGCUCUGCCCCACUAGGGAAAGAGAGAGACUGGCUAGGAGUAUGGAUUAACCUGCCCCCCCCAUGUUCAACGGGGAAACAAUUACGGAAGCCAGACCUUCCGCCUUCUGCACCCCACAAUGAGCCUGGGUCCAUACUCCCAGAGGGAUAAAGAAUAGGAAAGCUAUCAAGGGAGGGGAUGGAAUAUGGAAUUCUGGUGUUAGAAAUUGUAUGGAAUUGUACCCCUCUUGUCCUAUGGUCUUGUCAAUGUUUCCAUUUCAUAAACAAAAAUUAUACAGAUAUAAAAAAUGUCAUACAAAAAAGAAACAUUGUGCUUUCACAGUAACCAAAUAAAAAAUUACCUCACCAAAAUCCAAGUUUAUCACUGUGAAAUAGAGAUAAAAUACAUACCCAUACGU